GAUGAACGCUGGCGGCGUGCCUAAUACAUGCAAGUCGAGCGGGAUUGAUUAGAAGCUUGCUUUUGAGAGAUCCAGUGGCAAACGGGUGAGUAAUGCGCAGGUAAUCUGCCGCAAAGUCGGGGACAACGUUCCGAAAGGGACGCUAAUACCGGAUGUUGUACAAACUUCGCAUGGAGCUUGUACUAAAGAUUUAUCGCUUUGCGAGGAGCCUGCGUCCGAUUAGGUAGUUGGUAGUGUAAGAGACUACCAAGCCGACGAUCGGUAGCCGGUCUGAGAGGAUGAACGGCCACAAUGGAACUGAGACACGGUCCAUACUCC
rnacentral:rRNA from 1 species